GUAUUAUGGAGAGUUUGAUCCUGGCUCAGGACGAACGCUGGCGGCGUGCCUAACACAUGCAAGUCGAACGGGGGUUUUGUUUCGGCAGAAUCCUAGUGGCGAACGGGUGAGUAACGCGUAGGCAACCUGCCCCCCGGAUUGGGACAACACCCCGAAAGGGGUGCUAAUACCGGAUACGAAGAUAGCA
rnacentral:rRNA from 1 species